GUCAGCGUGGUGGAGUGGUUUGAACAUGGGACUAGGACUCUGGAGACCAGGGUUCGAAUCCUGGUCUGGCA